CCUCCCCUCAGGGGGCGGCCGUGCCCCGGGCUGCGGGGAGCCUUCCGGCCGCCGUCUGCUUUCUGGUGUUCCCGGCGCGGCCUGGCGGCGCUCGGUGCCCCGCAUGAGUUGGGCAGGGAGCGGGAGGAGCCCGAGCCGCCGGCAGCUACCUGAGAGAGGGGCUGGGAGGGAGUGAGGGAGCUGGCUGGGCGAGCCGGGGAACGUCCGUAGAGCCGCCGGGACUUCGAAGGUGUCCCGGGGGGAAAAAAGAGCCGGGGGUGACAGGAGAGUGAGGGACAAGAGCCGGGCUGGUGCCGUGUUGUGAGAGGGACGAGCCUUGCUUGCCCCUGGAUCUUGGGUCGGGGGCUGGAGAGCUGCUGGGUGCUAUUCCUGCAUGGCUGUGAAGUUUUGUGUGUAAAUGGGAGCUCCUCGUACACAGUAUGGGAUUUUGCACAGACAUGUAAUGCCUGUUUUGGUAAGGAAAAGAAUUUGCCUGCUUACAGUCAUGGGACUUGAAAUACUGGUGGGAUUUCUUAAGUCCUUGCUAAGAUGGGCAGUAUGAUACUGCUGCAGCCGAAGCAGAACAGAAAGAAGUAAAAGUGACUGUCACUGUGGCAUCAGGCUGGACGUCAGUAUCUCACACAGGCCUGGGA